CGCAAUUUAUGCUCCUCCAUAAAUCCCUGGCCAACCGUGCUUUGAUCAUUGUAAGGACCGAUGGCAAGCAGCACAAGUUUGUAUGCCUUCUCGUUUACGUUACGUAACUGCUGAUGCACUUUAUACAUACAACACUCAUUUUCAGCAUUGGAUGUAGU